rnacentral:lncRNA from 1 species
CGUUGUGGAGGCGGUGGAGUUAAGGUUAACCGGAAGAUGCACGACCAUACUUUCACUUUCAGUCUCAGAGCUGCAGCAUCUUCUCCACUUGGUACAGAUCGGAUUAAUCUGAUUCACAGUUUAUCCCGCAGUCAACAAUUCUCCAGUGCUAAAAACAAACCUACCAAUCAAUCAGUCCCCCUCACCAGCAGCAGGAUGGCCUUCCAAGUCUUAGUGCAUUUAGACAAAAAAACGAUCACGGUCACAGUGGCAGAAACCGAGGAACAGGCACUGAAGACUACCAUCAGAGAGUUAAAGGAGUUAAUUCUACAGACAGUGAAGGAAGAAAUCAGGCCAGGUGCAAAACCAGAUGAACCACCAAAAAGGAGACGCAGUCGUGAAUUAACAUUUGAAGCAAUGGCUACACAGUUCCCCAACAGAUGUCUUGUACAGUAGAGAGAAUGGUCACACCAUGGUUCCGGAGGAGCUUAAUUUCGUUACAAUUUUGUGGAAAAAUAAAUUUCAAAAGUGUAUUUGCCUUUUUAUUUUU